UUAUUGCUAUAUACCACAGGUCCAGCAUGGGAACUUGGUUCCAGUAGGUGCUCAAUAAAUAUUUAAGUAAACCGAGUGGCUGAAUGAGUGAACAAAUAAAGGGAUGAAUCAAAGUGCUCCACAAAAGAAUUGCCAAUUCUUUUAAUAGAAAGUGGAAGAUGAGCUCUGAAGGAAGAAAGACAGACAACAUUACAACUUCAAAGAAUUGUGUAAGGAGUUGGAUAUAUACACAAGAUUUAUAUAGCUGUCAAUCAACUGCUAUUGGAAGCCACACCUAUCACAAGAGCUAGUGGAAGAAGCAUCAUCUUAUCCUAAAAGGAAUCGUCUAUGUGUUCUUUAUGUCUUUGUAGAAUACCAGUUGCACCAGGUACAUUGGCAAGUCAUUUGGUUAUUGCUAAUCUGACCAAACCUACUCCACAAGAAAUAAGUUGGGAUACUUCAUACAAACUGAAUGCAGAUACCACAGAUUGUCAUCACAUCCUUCAAUCGCCUUGUCAGUUUUUUUUUUUUUGUCCUUUUUUGAUAUUAUUAACUAAGUAGGUUAGGAAAAAAUUACUAACCUCAUCAGGUAUUUAAAAAUGUAAAGCAAAAUAUACGUGAUGGAAGACGGCACUAGUUUAUGUCAGACAACUGUGAAGAUAAAAUAGGAUACUGUUAGUAGACCGAUGGUGUGCAGUGUGGACACUGUAUACAGAUGCUGAGCUGUUAGUAAAGAGCUGCUUAUAAGACAUCUCUGCUGCUUGAUACCUGAAUCUGCAAAUGUUGGACACUGUCCCCUAGAAGAAUCUACAGCGUCUUGGCACAGGAUGUCAGUUUCAUGGGUCGAGAUGUUGAGGAACUUGUACACACAGGACCUGAAUUUAAACGCUGGGAGCUCAGUAGAUAUGCCGACUUGAAUGGCUUCGUAGACAGGAAUCAACAAUGGCAUGGGUCUGAAGUACUGAAACAGCACAAAGAAAUGAAGUUAAAACAAAAGAGAGGGCUAAAGAGCAAAUAGUGUGUCUUUGGUGGAACUAAAGCUCAUCAUUGAUGGAAAUACACUGAGCAUGUUUAGGGAGCUGGGCACUCUAAUUCAUGAUCACUCCUGUCAGUGGAAAAAUGCCAGUCUGCCACCAUGCUCACUAUUUAGAACUCCCACUUCAGUUUCAGUUACUUCUCCUUUGGACUUUUGAAGGCAGAGUUGCCCUCGUCCUUCUCUGAGUCAAGUAGCACCACUAAAUCUUUGCACUGAAUCUCCACCUUACCUGCCAUCCAGCUGGCAAGUAUGGCCCUGGGAACUAGCCCUAACUGACAACACAGCAUAUGAAGACAUCGUGCUGUCAGGGACUUUAAAAGGUGCACAGAUUGUCAUCAGCAAGGGACAACAGGUGCUGCUGAGGAUAUGGUGAAAAGGGAAGCCUCAUCCACUGUUGGUGGGAAUGUAGAUUAGUCCAGCGACUGUGGGAAACACGUGGAGGCUCUUCACAAAGUUAAAAAUUGAUCUGCCAUAUGAUCCAGCAGUUCUAAUUCUGGGCAUAUACCCAAGGAAAAUGAAAACGAGUUUGCUGAGAUCUUUGCACCCCCGUGUUUAUCGCAGCAUUAAACACAGCAUUCUUCACAAUAGCUAAGAUGUGGAAACAACCCAAAUGCCAAUCAAUGGAUCAAUGAAUAAAAGAGCUGUACAUAUACACAAUGGAAAGUUAUUCAGCCAUGAAAAGGAGGAUAUUUUGCCAUUUGCAACAAUAUGGAUGGACCUUGAGCAUAUUAUACUAAGCGAGAUAAGUCAGAGAAAGACAAAUACUAAAUGAUAGCACUUAUAUGUACAAUCUAAAAGGUCAAACAUGUUUAAAAAAAAUGGUGGUUAACAGGAAAUGGGGGCUGAAGGGAUAAAAUGGAUGGUGUUUCAGGAUACAGACACAAAAUGAGUAUUGAGCCACAGAGAUCUAAUGUACAGUAUAUUGAAUAUAGACAGUACUAUUGUACAAUAAGUAUAUAAAGUGAUAAUGUUGCAACCUUAUUAUAUCAAUGUAUCAAAGUAAUGUGUGUAUAACUUAAAUUUAUACAGGAUUACAGGUCAAAUUUAUCCAAUUAAAGCAUUUGUUUUAAAUAAAAAGGAGCAUAGUUGAUGAGAAUGUUGCUGUUGCUGCUACAUG